rnacentral:snoRNA from 1 species
AGGCCGUGAUGAGGACACUUGCGUAAUAGCUCCUUGAACCUUUCCCAAGUUUCAUAUAAGGAUUCCCCGUCCUCUUGUGAAUAUGUAUUUAUUUCAGUCAUUAACUU